CCUCCCCUCUCAGCCCGUGGGCCUCCCAGGCCCUAGCCAGCUAUGCCACCACCUUCAGCCUUUUAUUUUCUUUUUUUAUUUUUUUUUAAUUACUGAGGGAAAAUAUAAACAUAAGCAAAAAAAAAAAAAGCCUCCCCUGCAGGCGCGAGCGGGGGUGGCGAGGAGGCCGACGAAGGCGGUAAUGCAACCCUAAUGCAUAGAUAGCUGACAUCAACUUCCGUCAGGCAGCUCCUGGAGAUCGAACCUUUCGAUUGUAACUGGGACAAUUUGCAUAGUGAUUCCCUUUCAGAGCUUUCCCGGGUCCAUAACAAGCCCAGGCAGCUAUUCAAAUGCAAGUUGCAUCCCCAAAUGCGAGGCUGGCCUGACCAAAAAGAGCCAGUCGGCGCCCGGAAGAGGCGAGACUCGCGCUUGGGUUCUCAAUCCUUCUCUUUUCUCCUUUCUUUUUCCCUUUCUCCUCUCCGGUUCCUGAUUUAGCUGGGAGCUGUUUAUUUAUGGCUGCAAAUGUGUGUGUUCAAGAGAGAGAGGGAAUUGAUCUUUGCCUGGACUUAAAGAUGGAGCCGAAGAAGCUGGAGGGAAUUUGGGCUUGUGCGUCUGGCCCAGACCCUGUGCGCCGAGCCCGAGGUCUAUCCUCCCCGCACCUCUCACCUCGCGACCUUGCAGGAAUCCGCGGGCCCGGAUGCUGCCCAGCUGACCCUCCUGCCCCGGGCCUGGCUGCAGAGAAAGUCUUCGGGCAGGAGGCCAUCCUGUUCCUGUCUUUAAAAUGAGCACAAUAAAAGGGGGCAAAUCCUCGAACGCGAACCUGAUCUCAUGUCACAGAAGCAACUUGCCAUGAAAUCCGCUAAUGCGCUGCGACUCGCCCACCAGGAUAAAUAACCCCAUCGUCCGUGUAAUCAGCACGUUCCCAAUGAAGUCGUUUUCCUAGAAUGCGCUCUCCGCCUGCCACACUUGAGGAAUCCAGCCCACAGAGGUUUCGGAAACCCAGUUUGAGUGAUUCCAGCCUAGACUGAAACCCUGAGAGCCUCCCAGGAAAGAGAGCCCGGCCUGGGCCAAGCAGUCGGACACACACACACACACACACACACACACACACACACACACACACACACACACGGACUGCGUAGCUCUUCGCAGGAUCGAAGGCUGGAUGCGGAUCUGGGAGGCGGUGGCUAAGCGAACCAGGAAGACUGUGACGGAAACCAAUACAGCAGUGUCAUCUUGAAAGUUAUUUGGAAGAACAGGACCUGGAGUCUGGGUUUGAAUCAAAAAAUUGUGAGCAAGGGACAGAUCACCCUGUAUUUCUCUGGAACGAGGCAGAACUGAGACCUGCUCAGCUGAACCAGCGUGGCCACAUAUUGGGGACUAGGAAAUUGUUCUCAGACACUGUAGCACACACAUCCUCUGACAGCGAGCUCACUCCUGCGCAGUGGGCUUCUGGUUCUGCCACUGCACUCCACAAACGCCCUACAGGCCUCCUCCAGGUUUUGCCAGGCAAAUGAAACGAGCACAACUCGAUAGUAAAUUAUUUUGUUCAGCCUUCUCUCUUUUUAUGAAAAUAAGAGGCAACACUUUGUCAUUUUUAAUCACAUAAGCAGACAAUAAAUCUAAUUUUGAUAUUGAUU
rnacentral:lncRNA from 10 species